AGACGUGCCCGGGUCACCGCAUGGGCUCAGGGUAUCGCAGAGAGGCUCCCGCUACCUCGUCGUGUCCUGGCUGGCGCCCACGACCACCCACACGCCCGUCGAUACAUACAUUGUGCAGUACCGACCUGCCAGAGGGACAUGGAACGACGGCCAGAAGGAGGACGUGGGCGGCGACACCACGACGGCCCGCCUCUCGCCCCUCGUGCCCGAUACCCAGUACCUGGUGCGGGUGCUCGCGGCCAACCACCUGGGGGCGUCGCCGCACUCGGAGCCCCUGCAGAUCCGGACCGAGGGCGAGUCUCCUUCGGCGCCUCCCAUAGACGUGCGAAGUGAUGCCGUCUCGCCCACCAGCAUACGCGUGGUAUGGGAGCCCCCGCCCACGCACACCCACCACGGCGACCUGCUGGGCUAUCAUGUGGGCAUUCGGCGCCAUGAUCUGGGCAACGACGGCUCCUACAACUUUAGUGUG